AUUGAACGCUGGCGGCAGGCCUAACACAUGCAAGUCGAACGGUAGCACAGAGAGCUUGCUCUCGGGUGACGAGUGGCGGACGGGUGAGUAACGUCUGGGAAACUGCCCGAUGGAGGGAGAUAACUACUGGAAACGGUAGCUAAUACCGCAUAACGUCGCAAGACCAAAGUGGGGGACCUUAGGGCCUCACACCAUCGGAUGUGCCCAGAUGGGAUUAGCUAGUAGGUGGGGUAAUGGCUCACCUAGGCGACGAUCCCUAGCUGGUCUGAGAGGAUGAACAGACACACUGGAACUGAGACACGGUCCAGACUCCUACGGGAGGCAGCAGUGGGGAAUAUUGCACAAUGGGCGCAAGCCUGAUGCAGCCAUGCCGCGUGUAUGAAGAAGGCCUUCGGGUUGUAAAGUACUUUCAGCGGGGAGGAAGGCGGUGAAGUUAAUAACUUCACCGAUUGACGUUACCCGCAGAAGAAGCUCCGGCUAACUCCGUGCCAGCCGCCGCGGUAA
rnacentral:rRNA from 1 species